rnacentral:lncRNA from 1 species
CCUAGAGGUUCCAAAUCAAGGUGUUGGCAGGGCCAUACUCUCCCUGAAGGCUCUAGAGGUGAAUUUGGUCCUUGGCUUUCUCUUGGCUUCCAGUGUCGCUGCCAAUCCUUGGUGUUCCUUGACUUGUGGACCCAUCACUCCAAUCUGCCUCCGUUGUCACAUGACAUUCUACAUUCUCCUCGUGUGUCUGGCUUUGUGUCUUCUUCUUUUCUUGUAAGGACACCCAUCACAGUGGGUUAAGGGCCCACCAUAUUCCAGUAUCAUCUCAAGCUUGUCUGUGUAUUUGAUGGAACACUGACCUUUUCCAGACUUUAUGAACUGACUUCUAUGAGGAAAGAUCUUCACAUGCUGGGGAUGAAGUGGCAACCAAGAAGAUUUCUCUUGAUGCUGAGCUAUGCAGGCCUGAGAUAUGAGGUUACACAGAGUCUCACUCUGUGCCAGGCUGGAGUGCGGUGGUGCGAU